UGAGAGUCUCAUUCAGUCUCUUUUCUCACACUCGCUGUUAUGGAGCUGUUCAUCUUCAUAGUUUUUCAGCUCCUGAUAGAGGUUCAGUCUUACAAAUUUCCUAGAGUAAAAGUAUCUCCAGAUGUCAUAAGAGAGUCCAGCGCAGUGAAGAUCAGCUGUGAGACAGAAACACAUGUUACAGCGAAUAAAUGUUAUUUCUACAUAAACAGAGAGGAGAAGAAAAUGAAAACCAGUCCAUCAUGUGAGCUGGAUCUCACUGGUGCUGAAGUGUUCAGAUGGGCAGCUGUAAAAUCACCUGAAUCACUCAACAUUAUCUGUUACUACACAAUGAUAAAUGUGCAAGGCUCAUUCAUAACAUCAUCUGAAUCUGAUCCUGCCACAGUGACAGUUCUAGUUUCAACAUCAACCACUACUGAAAAAACUACUUCAACAGCCAUGAAAACCUCAUUAACUGUAAUGUCCACUUCUGAAACUACAACAUACAGUAAAACUACAGACCUCCAAUUCAAGACAAACACGCCAAACAGUACGGCAAAGGAAACCAUGAAUACAUUGUUAAUAGUGCUGGUCUCCAUUGGUGUUGCUGGAAGUUUGUCUGGACUCAUGGGACUCAUCUGUCUGUGCUGGUUUGCAUGUAAAAAAAGAAGAAAACCCAAUAAAAUGAAAUCAAUAAAAACAGAUGCGCCCAUUCAAGAAACUGGUAUAGUGAGUAUCUGUGCAUUUAAAAUCUUUAAAAUCAUGAAUUAACAAAUAUAUUUCUAAUAUAUCAUAGCAAAUAUGAAUGGCUGAAAGAAACUUGACCUGUAUUACUGGUUAUGUUAUUUAGAGUUGUUCUGGAUCUGCAGAGAACUGAAUUCAUAUUUUGAUUUUGGUAGAAAAUAAAUGUUAUAUUGGUGAAAUGUGUUAAAUGUAG
ensembl:lncRNA